AAAGAAGUAUCUGUCAGCUGUCACAGAUUUAUUUCAAAUUAAGAAGCACAUGGGUUAGGCGCUAAAGUGAAAUGUUUUUAUUUCCAACUGACUCUUCCACUUUUGAAUGUCAUAGCUCUGCAGGGCAUGGCAGACACAUGCCUAAUAGGGAGAAACAGAGAGGAGUUUAAUGAAUCACAAAGAAGCAUUCUUUACUUCAAGUGCAUCCUGCACAGUAUUCUCACUGGAAUGAGUCCAUGGAGCAAGUGGGUCCCCAAGCCCUUGAUCUGUAAUUCCCAUGCAGUCACCCAGACAAGACCAGAGUAGUUGUCAGCUGAGCUUUAGAUCAACGGAUCUUCAUCUGCUGGCUACUGACUCGAUUCCACUAAAGAUCCCUCGGAUCACAGCCCCAGCGUGUGCAUGCGUGUGUCUGUGUGUGCCCGUACCUGAGUGCCGGGAUGGCGAAGGGGCCAGGAGAGUCGUCUAUUCUCGAGUGUUCAUUGCAUCACUUUACCAACGUACUAAGCAACUGCUGUGUGCAGGGCACUAUCUUGCACCAAGGUCACUGGGUUCAUUAAAAAAUUAAAAGAUAAUGAAGUGGAAAGUUUAGGGGUGGGAAUAGCUAACAAUAGACAGUAAUGGUAGAUUUCAUUUUCCUCUCUCUUCCUCCUUCUUUUUCCUGUCCAUCCAUAUUGUAUUCAUUUCAUAACACUGAGUGUCACCAUGUCAGACACAAAAGCUGAAUCAAUACUCCAGUAAAGAUGAUAAUAAGCCAGCAUGCAUAUGCCUAAGAAAUUGCAUUCUUGGCCAUUUAUCCCAAAGAAAUGGAAAUGUUCACAUAAAAUCCUAUGCUUGUUCAAACGCAAGUGAGUAGUAAAGCAAACUGGCGCAUACAUACAUGGGACACUGCUCAGCAAUAAAGGGAACAAAAACACAACGACUAGAUGGGGUCCAGAGAAUCAUUCGGAGUUUAAAAAUCCAGUCUGGAUGGUUACAUACUAUAUGACUUCACUCACGGAAGUUCCUGAAGCAAUAAAGUUAUAAAAGUGAUGAACAGACUCCUGGUAGGCAGGCAGUAAGGAAGGCUGCUAUGAGAGGGAAGUGGCAUUGUGACCACAGGGCAACAUGGGAUGGAAUGUUCUCUUGUCUAUGGUGGUGGAUACGUGAAGGAAACACAAAACUGCAUAACUAGACACACACAUGCACACACGCACACGCACACGUCCACACGAAUACAACUAAAAUGGGAAAUCAGAACAGGACCAGAUGUUAAAACAAUGUCCAGACUCUAGUUGUUUUGUUUUGCAAGGUGUGUCAUUGAGGCAAACUGGGUAAUAGGCAUAUUUACUUCCUCUGUAUUACUUCUUACAACUGCAUGUGAAUCUACUAUUAUUUCAAAAUAAUUAAUUUGAUCUGUAAAAGUCAACACAAUGUCAAGUGGGAUGCAUGCUAUGACAAGAUGAAAGCAGGGUGCUAUGGGGCUUAGAGUAGGGCUGAGGGAGCUGUGUGGUCAGGAGAGACUUCCUAAGGAGGUGACUGGGGGGUGGGUAGUUCCAAGCUGAGGAAACCACACACAGACGAGGGUCUUUGUCUGGUCCACUGCUACUUCCCCCACUUCCCAGAACAUGCCUGGCUGACAGUGAAUCAUCAAAAACUAUUCGUUGAAGGAAUGAAUAAGUGAAGACAUAGAGGGUGACUUUUUAGUUCAUUGUGGUUCAGCAUAGCAUACGCGCAGCAAGUCAGGCCUGAGGAUGUUGAGAAUAGGGGAAGUGCAGGGCUUGUACUGCUGGCAUAGUCAGGGGAGAGGCUGGCGUGAAGAGACCCGCUGGGGAGGGCACUGGGCCACACUCUCAGAUGGUGGAAACCCUCCAGGAUAAGUCCUGUGUCUGAAGCAGACAUCGAUGGAGAUAGAAUUCAAGUCACACAGGCAGUGUUAAAUCUUCCCGUAGCCACAUGGAAAAGGUACAAUGAAACCGAUGAAAUUAAUUCCAAUAACUAAUCCCAGUGUGAUUGUAGUGGAAAGAAAAUAAAUUUUAUUUAAUUCAAUAUUAUCCAAAUUGUUUGCGUUUCAACAUGUAAUAAAUAUUUUUUAAACUAUUGAUAAAAUAUUUUACCUUUUUUUUCAGUACUGAGGAUUGAAGCCAGGGCCUUUACACUGAGCUAUAUCCCCUGAACUUUUUUCAUUUUCUAAACUUUGAGACAGGAUCUCAUUGUGUAACUAAGUUGCCCAGGCUGGGCUCCCACUUGUGCCGUUCCCCAUCUCGGCCUUCUAUUCUUUUGACAUCCUUUUUAUAAUAGUAAGCCUUUGGGACCUGGCCUGCACUAGCAGCACAUAUAACUGACAGCCCGCCUCAUUCAAAACUAUGGAGGCUCAGGUGCCCAGGACCUACACCUGGUGGCGACCGAAGUGGACCAUGCUGGGCUUCCCAGUGGCAAGGAGAAGACUGUUUAUUGGGAUUUACCCUAGACCCCUCUCAUGCGGCGAUCUUAACUUUUCGAACAACAAUAACCCUAUGGAUUUUGCCCUUUAUGGUAAGGAAACUAAGACAAAAAGAUGAAUGAACCACCCAGGCUUCCAGCUCAUCAGUGAUAGAACUCAAUUCCAACUCAGCUUUGGCUGAUCGGUUUUGACUGCAUCAGGCAGCUUAGCCUCUCUGUUCGAGCAUUCUAGACAAAGCCUGGCUCCAGUGAGGACAUCAUAUCAACCUUGUAGAAAUAUCCACGACCUCAACAGCUGAGCUCAGGCUGCUGGUGCACAUGAAAUUUCAAAGCAUAAAGCAGCUAGGUGUCCGUGCAAGAGAUUCUUUUUCAGAAUUUAUCAAAAUGUUUAUUUAUCCAGCAUCAUGAUUUCAGAUAUGUGGAGCCCAAUCCCUGAUUUGAGUGUCUCGGCCUCUGGAAGCAGCCAUGUCUGCCUGGCUGAGUCACAGCUGCCAACCUUCACCUGGCUGAAGAGGCCACAUCAAAUUGAAUUAGAGAGAGGAAUUCUUCCCAAGUAGAGAUGGCCCUCACAUUUAGUGAAUGAUGAAGCCAGAAUAAUAAUCAGGCCCACAGAAGGGAAACUAAUACAAUCAAAAGGAUGGAGGAAUUUCAUCAUAAAGGAUAGAAUUGAAAAAAAAAAUCACCAGGCCAGGCUGGACCUGCAAAGAUUGAAGAGGAAGGAAAUACAAUCGACCCUGAAGGACCCUGAAGCCAGGACAGUGAUGAGAACUUGGGCCCGUGCGGACGGCAUGGUGAGGUGACAGGAGCUGUGAUCCGGUGCAGUGUGGGGCCACACGCAAGACUGUGAACUUACCCAGGGGUCCCGACUGGGUCAUGCCCACUUCCCUGGUCUCCUUCCCAUCCCGGGGCACUGGGCCUGGCCACCCCAGCCUCGCCCGUUCCAGCAGCCUCCACUGGGUGAUUUGGCUGUGGAGAUGAGGUAUGUACUUCAGGCAUGCUUAGCACUGCUGUUGCUGCUCUACUUCUGAAUCGCUGUGAAGCUCCAUGAUGCCUGACUCAACUGAGCCAAAGCAUGAAGAUUCAGAAAUACUACACACACACACACGCACACACACACACACCCCGAGCUGUAUUUAUCACACAAAAUUAUGAACCUAAUACCUCAAUUAAAAAUUUACAA